rnacentral:rRNA from 1 species
UGACAAACCGGAGGAAGGUGGGGAUGACGUCAAGUCCUCAUGGCCCUUAUGGGUAGGGCUUCACACGUCAUACAAUGGUGCAUACAGAGGGUUGCCAACCCGCAGGGGGAGCUAAUCUCAGAAAAUGCAUCGUAGUCCGGAUCGUAGUCUGCAACUCGACUACGUGAAGCUGGAAUCGCUAGUAAUCGCGGAUCAGAAUGUCGCGGUGAAUACGUUCCCGGGUCUU